UACAGAGGAUGCAAGCGUUAUCCGGAAUGAUUGGGCGUAAAGCGUCUGUAGGUGGCUUUUUAAGUCCGCCGUCAAAUCCCAGGGCUCAACUCUGGGCAGGCGGUGGAAACUACCAAGCUUGAGUACGGUAGGGGCACGAGGGAAUUUCCGGGUUCGGAGCGGUGGAAAUGCGUAGAGAUCCGGAAGAACACCGGUGGCGAAGGCGGUCUGCUGGGCAGUUGCUGACGCUGAC
rnacentral:rRNA from 1 species